rnacentral:rRNA from 2 species
UAGAGUUUGAUCCUGGCUCAGGAUGAACGCCGGCGGUGUGCCUAAUACAUGCAAGUCGUAUGCACUGGCCCAACUGAUUGAUGGUGCUUGCACCUGAUUGACGAUGGAUCACCAGUGAGUGGCGGACGGGUGAGUAACACGUAGGUAACCUGCCCCGGAGCGGGGGAUAACAUUUGGAAACAGAUGCUAAUACCGCAUAACAACAAAAGCCACAUGGCUUUUGUUUGAAAGAUGGCUUUGGCUAUCACUCUGGGAUGGACCUGCGGUGCAUUAGCUAGUUGGUAAGGUAACGGCUUACCAAGGCGAUGAUGCAUAGCCGAGUUGAGAGACUGAUCGGCCACAAUGGAACUGAGACACGGUCCAUACUCCUACGGGAGGCAGCAGUAGGGAAUUUUCCACAAUGGGCGCAAGCCUGAUGGAGCAACACCGCGUGAGUGAAGAAGGGUUUCGGCU